AAAUAUUUCGUACCGUCCCGAACAUUUUAUUCCUUUACGGCUAAACAUAAGAUAACUUACUAGUAAUUUGGACUGCUCAAAUAAAACAGAUCUUGAAUGAUUUUUCGAAUCGUGUUUUUUUUCUUCGAAAAAAUGUUUGCCCUUUUUGGUAGUUUAGACCCUGUUGAUACUAUACUCAUACGGUUUGUAAGUUGUCAUAAUAUGUUAUAACAUUUUUUUAAAUGAGAGUUAAUAAUUAAAAUAUGAUAAAAUAUGAUUAACAUCAAUGUAAAAUAUUCGAGUUAUAAUAAUUUUACUGCA